rnacentral:rRNA from 1 species
AUUGAACGCUAGCGGCAUGCCUUACACAUGCAAGUCGAACGGUAACGGGCCUUCGGGUGCCGACGAGUGGCGAACGGGUGAGUAAUACAUCGGAACGUGCCCGAUCGUGGGGGAUAACGAGGCGAAAGCUUUGCUAAUACCGCAUACGAUCUACGGAUGAAAGCAGGGGACCGCAAGGCCUUGCGCGGACGGAGCGGCCGAUGGCAGAUUAGGUAGUUGGUGGGAUAAAAGCUUACCAAGCCGACGAUCUGUAGCUGGUCUGAGAGGAUGAUCAGCCACACUGGGACUGAGACACGGCCCAGACUCCUACGGGAGGCAGCAGUGGGGAAUUUUGGACAAUGGGCGCAAGCCUGAUCCAGCCAUGCCGCGUGCAGGAUGAAGGCCUUCGGGUUGUAAACUGCUUUUGUACGGAACGAAAAGCCUUCUUUUAAUACAGGAGGGUCAUGACGGUACCGUAAGAAUAAGCACCGGCUAACUACGUG